rnacentral:rRNA from 1 species
UUACCGCGGCGGCUGACACCAGACUUGCCCCCCCCUUAUUCUCUAGGCUAUCUACACCUAGCAAAAGCCAUCCAAAAAAGGAUAGCACUCGGAAUAGCCUCGUCACGCUUUCGCGCAUUGCGAAGUUUUCGCGCCUGCUGCACCCCGUA